rnacentral:rRNA from 1 species
AUUGAACGCUGGCGGCAUGCUUUACACAUGCAAGUCGAACGGCAGCACAGGGAGCUUGCUCCUGGGUGGCGAGUGGCGAACGGGUGAGUAAUGUAUCGGAACGUGCCUGGUAGUGGGGAUAACUACUCGAAAGAGUGGCUAAUACCGCAUGAGAUCUUUGGAUGAAAGCGGGGGACCUUCGGGCCUCGUGCUACUGGAGCGGCCGAUAUCAGAUUAGGUUGUUGGUGGGGUAAAGGCCUACCAAGCCUGCGAUCUGUAGCUGGUCUGAGAGGACGACCAGCCACACUGGGACUGAGACACGGCCCAGACUCCUACGGGAGGCAGCAGUGGGGAAUUUUGGACAAUGGGCGCAAGCCUGAUCCAGCAAUGCCGCGUGCAGGACGAAGGCCUUCGGGUUGUAAACUGCUUUUGUACAGAACGAAAAGUCUCUGGCUAAUAUCUAGAGAUCAUGACGGUACUGUAAGAAUAAGCACCGGCUAACUACGUG